rnacentral:rRNA from 1 species
UACGGGGGGGGCAAGCGUUGUUCGGAAUUACUGGGCGUAAAGGGUGCGUAGGCGGUCCGCUAAGUUGGAUGUGAAAACUCUGGGCUUAACCCAGAGCCUGCAUUCAAAACUGACGGGCUAGAGUUCUGGAGGGGGUAGCGGAAUUCCUGGUGUAGCGGUGAAAUGCGUAGAUAUCUGGAGGAACACCGGUGGCGAAGGCGGCGUUCUGGACUGUCUCUGACACUGAAGAACGAAAGCCAGGGGAGCAAACGGG